UACGUAGGGGGCAAGCGUUGUCCGGAAUCAUUGGGCGUAAAGAGCGUGUAGGCGGUUCGGUAAGUCUGCUGUGAAAGUCCAGGGCUCAACCCUGGAAAGCCGGUGGAUACUGUCGGACUAGAGUGCGGAAGAGGCGAGUGGAAUUCCCGGUGUAGCGGUGAAAUGCGCAGAUAUCGGGAGGAACACAAAUUGCGAAGGCAGCUCGCUGGGACGUGACUGACGCUGAGACGCGAAAGCGUGGGGAGCGAACAGG
rnacentral:rRNA from 1 species